UCAGCCGCCGCGGUAAUACCAGCUCUCCGAGUGGUGUGGACGUUUAUUGGGCCUAAAGCAUCCGUAGCUGGCUGAACAAGUCCCCUGUUAAACCCACCGAUUUAAUCGUUGACGUGCGGGGGAUACUGCCUGGCUAGGGGACGAGAGAGGCAGACGGUAUUCCCGGGGUAGGGGUGAAAUCCUAUAAUCCCGAGAAGACCACCAGUGGCGAAGGCUGUCUGCUAGGACGCGCCAGACGGUGAGGGAUGAAAGCUGGGGGAGCGAACCGGAUUAUAUUCCCGGGUAGUCCCAGCUGUAAACGAUGCAGACUAGGUGUUUGGACGGCCACGUGCCGUUCUAGUGCCGCAGGGAAGCUGUUAAGUCUGCCGCCUGGGGAGUACGAUCGCAAGGUUGAAACUUAAAGGAAUUGGCGGGGGAGCACA
rnacentral:rRNA from 1 species